CCUACGGGAGGCAGCAGUGGGGAAUAUUGGACAAUGGGGGGCACCCUGAUCCAGCGACGCCGCGUGAGUGAAGAAGUAUUUCGGUAUGUAAAGCUCUAUCAGCAGGGAAGAAAGAAAUGACGGUACCUGACUAAGAAGCCCCGGCUAACUACGUGCCAGCAGCCGCGGGAAUUCGUAGGGGGCAAGCGUUAUCCGGAUUUACUGGGUGUAAAGGGAGCGUAGACGGCGAUGCAAGUCUGAAGUGAAAGGCGGGGGCCCAACCCCCGGACUGCUUUGGAAACUGUAUGGCUGGAGUGCAGGAGAGGUAAGUGGAAUUACUAGUGUAGCGGUGAAAUGCGUAGAUAUUAGGAGGAACACCAGUGGCGAAGGCGGCUUACUGGACUGUAACUGACGUUGAGGCUCGAAAGCGUGGGGAGCAAACAGGAUUAGAUACCCUUGUAGUC
rnacentral:rRNA from 1 species